GUCUUUCCCAGCCUCAGUUUAUUCAUCUAUAAAUGUAGAUGGUAAAAAUACCAACCUCACAGGGGAACUGAAGAAUUAAACUCGACGUUAUCUGGCACACAAUAAGCAGCUAUUAUUGUGAUUGUUUAAACAGAAGGUAUCAUUUCAAAAGGAAGCUGUUUAAAGCUCCGAAGAUAUUUUGUAGGAGAAUUUUCCUGACGUCAUUCUACAGACAGAAAAAAAGUCAGGAAAUUCCUUGAAAAGUGCUGUCUUAAUGAGAGCAUUCCUUCCAAACCCCACUUCCACCACAAUCAACUAUCCAGUUUGAGGUGGAUUCUGAUUGAAAUUAUAAAAAAAAAAAAAAAAAUUGGCAAGAUGACUGUAUAUUGCAAAACAAAAUGUGUUGCUUUUAAAGUGAUUUUGGAGCUUCAGUAAUUAGUCUAGCAAGUUCCAAAGACACAUUCUGCAGUCAUCAUUCGGUUUUUGUUUCCUUUGGUAAUCUGCCUUUCUUCAAAAAAAAAAUCAACUGGGGAAAAACAUCUGUUUGGAAGCUGCCUGGGACUGAAGCCCCCAGCAGGCUUUGCUGGGCUCUGUAUUAUAAGGAAACCCCUUGGAUCCCACGUUCUUUCUUCCUGCCAGGCUGCUCCUGGGUCACUUCUCAGCUCUGGUGGCUGCUGAAACGAGACAGCUGCUGCUACACAAAAUAACUCAAGAACAUACCAAAGCCUGUUGCUUCCAGCACUUGGAAAAUCUGACAUUCAAAUAUGCAAAUAUUUUAUGGCACGAAAAGAGAAAAAAAGAGAAGGAGCUGCAAAGUCACAUUUGAAAUGAAACAUACUAGAGAUGAAAGCAAACUGGAAUUUACACUUCUGGAUUAUAAUUAAACUGGUGCUAUUAUCAGAGAAAAGCACAGAAUUCGCCACGAUUUGCCAAAAGGGUCUCUCACUACGCCGAAGUCGCCAAACAUGUCACCCAGUCACCAGCACCUGCACAGUGACAGAGCGGGAUUUGCAGCCUGGGUGUGAGCCUUGUCAGACUUACAGAAACGCCCUUGGCACAAAGGACAGAAAGGGGAGCGCGGCAGGGAAAUCAGAGCACCGUCUUUACCCCAUUUGCCACAGCACGGGGCUGUUUCCAUAGAUCCCUCAAAAUGAAAACUAUACAAAUGGGUCAAAGCCGAAGAAAAUGAGAAUAGAUAUCUCACAUCUGUGACAAACUGCCCAAAAGCUUACCAAUAGCACUCGGUUCUCUGAAGUCACCUCACGACAUCUAGCUCCAUCCGUCUCUCAGAAGUCACAGUCGGCUGCAAGCUUCUGCAAUCGGAAGGUCACACAGGUCUGCACUUCUGACCUCUAAAAGAAAUAGACUUAGGAGAAUAAUUGAGGUUCAGGAGAAGAAAAGUUUCCUGAGGGGACAGCCAGGGACAGAUUAACCAAAUUACAUCAGGUGACAAACACACUUACCUUGAUCUAUGCAUUAUAUAAAUAUUGAAUGUCUCAUUUUACUUUUCUUAACUUUGUUUUCUGUGUCCUAUGGAUGGUUGCCCAUACCAUGCUGUCCAUCUUUAGACUUGAUUCCUCAACGACAGGUCUUUGUCUCAAAUAAUAAUUUUUAUUUAGAAACAAUAAACAAG
rnacentral:lncRNA from 13 species